rnacentral:rRNA from 1 species
ACCUAAUAGAUACCCUGGUAGUCCACGCCCUAAACGAUGCGAACUGGAUGUUGGGUACAUUACGGUACUCAGUGUCGAAAGCUAAACGCGUUAAGUUCGCCGCCUGGGGAGUACGGUCGCAAGACUGAAACUCAAAGGAAUUGACGGGGCCCGGCACAAGCGGUGGAGUAUGUGGUUUAAUUACGAUGCAACGCGAAGAACCUUACCUGGCCGUUGACAUCUGUCGAAUCCUGCAGAGAUGCGGGAGUGCCGCAAGGAACGACAAGACAGGUGCUGCAUGGCUGUCGUCAGCUCGUGUCGUGAGAUGUUGGGUUAAG